GACAUACUCCCUCUGUCCGGAAAUACUUGUCAUUGGAAUGGAUGUAUCUAGAUGUAUUUUAGUUUUAGAUACAUCAUUUUUAUCCAUUUGUGCGACAAGUAAUUCCGGAUGGAGGGAGUACAUC
rnacentral:pre_miRNA from 1 species